AACGCACCUUGCGCUCUUUUUUAUGUUUGAGUGUUAUGAAAGUAUCAACCUUGACUUGGGUUUUGUGUCGUCUUGCCUUGGAAUUGGGUGCUUGUCGCUUUUACGAGUGGCUCACCUUAAAUGUAUUAACUGGAUUUGUCUCGAGAUUCUGUUUGACUUGGUGUGAUAUGUAUUUCGCUCAGUAUUUCGCUCAGUCAUCCUUCGGAGUGGCCUAGUUUUAGGAUGCUUGUCAGCUUCCAAUACGAGUUCCAUUUUGUAGUUACGACCUGCUUAAUGAACUGGCCUCAAACCACGUAGGACUACCCACUGAACUUAAUCAAUAAGCGGAGGA
rnacentral:misc_RNA from 1 species